GACGAACGCUGGCGGCGUGCUUAACACAUGUAAGUCGAACGGAAAGGCCCUGCUUUUGUGGGGUUCUCGAGUGGCGAACGGGUGAGUAACACGUGAGUAACAUGCCCUUGUCUUUGGGAUAACUUCAGGGAACUGGGGCUAAUACCGGAUAGGAGCUCCUGCUGCAUGGUGGGGGUUGGAAAGUUUCGGCUGUUGGGGAUGGACUCGCGGCUUAUCAGCUUGUUUGUGGAGUAGUGGCUUACCAAGGCUUUGAAGGGUAGCCGGCCUGAGAGGGUGACCGGGCACAAGAGGACUAAGAUACGGCGCAGAAGGCUACGGGAGGCAGCAGUGGGGAAUAUUGCACAAUGGGCGGAAGCCUGAUGCAGAAACGCCGCGUGCGGGAUGACGGCUUUCGGGUUGUAAACCGCUUUCGCCUGUGACGAAGCGUGAGUGACGGUAAUGGGUAAAGAAGCACCGGCUAACUACGUG
rnacentral:rRNA from 1 species